rnacentral:lncRNA from 1 species
CCAGGCACACCACCACCACCACAGAUGCAAGUCUGCCCAACUGCCCCUCCGAAUUACCCGUUCCCUGGGCCCAGCACCCCUUGCUACCCAGCAGUGCCACCCAGCACCCCUGGGACCUGUCCCCCAGGCCCCCUUCUGCCUGGCCAUCACCCACCGGGCCACCACCCUCAUGGGCACCACCCACCGGGCCACCAUCACCAUGGGCAUCCCCCACAUGGACCACCAGGGUGCCCACCUGGGUGCCCACCAGGGUGCCCACCAGGGUGCCCACCAGGCCCCCAUGACUGCCAUCAGAAGCACAAGAAGAAGCACAAGAAGAAGCACUCCAAUUGUUCCCACAAGCACCAUGGAGGCAAGCACUCAGGCAGCUCAAGCAGCUCGAGCAGCUCUGAUUCUGACUGAAGAGAACAUCUUCUAUCCAUGUGGUGGUGAAACCCCAAGGAGACAAUAUAUGAAGACAAAUGCCCCACCAGAGCCACCUACUCAUUGUUCUGCCCCAUUCUCCCUUCUCUGCAGCCUGCAUAUUGCCUUGAGAGGGCUCACAUCCCACCUCCUCACUGAGAGCCAUCCCUGUGACUGUGAUUAACAACACAAGGAGUUUUGUGUGCUGGUUUGCAGUCUGUGGUUGCUCAUCCCUCCGCAGUGAUGCUGGCUGCUACAGUGGAUCCCAUCUCAUGCAGAACUCCUUAAAUGUUGCAUGACAUUCUCCAGCUGUUUCAGAAGGGCUGGUCAGAGAAUAAAGUAAUUUCCCUCUUGCUGAGCUACA